AACGAACGCUUGCGGCGCGCCUAAUACAUGCAAGUCGAACGAGAAAGGUCCUUCGGGAACGAGUAAAGUGGCGGACGGGUGAGGAACGCGUGGAUAACCUUCCCUUCAGCGGGGGAUAACUAUUCGAAAGAGUAGCUAAUACCGCAUAAGACUACGAUAUCUGCGGAUGAUGUAGUUAAAGGCUUCGGCCACUGAAGGAUGGGUCCGCGUCCGAUUAGCUUGUUGGUGGGGUAACGGCCUACCAAGGCAACGAUCGGUAGCUGGUCUCAGAGGAUGAUCAGCCACACUGGAACUGAGACACGGUCCAGACUCCUACGGGAGGCAGCAGUAGGGAAUAUUGCACAAUGGAGGAAACUCUGAUGCAGCGACGCCGCGUGAGCGAUGAAGGCCUCGGUUGUAAGACUCUGUGAUAU
rnacentral:rRNA from 1 species